rnacentral:rRNA from 1 species
UUUUAAAAAAAUUAUUAGGAUUGUUUAGUUUAGGUUAAAUUAUUAUAAGUAAAUUAAAGUUUAAUUAUUUAUAAAGAAUAAAUUUAGUUAAUUAUAGAAUAUUAGUAUUGUGAGAGAAAUUUAGUUUAAAUUUUAUAAGAAAAAUUAAUUUUUUGUACCUUGUGUAUCAGGGUUUAUUAAUUAAAUUUAAUAAAUAUUUUAUUUUCUCGAAUUUAAGAGAGCUAUAAUUAUAUAAUUUUUAUUGUUGAAUAAAUAUUAGUAAUAUAAUUAUUGAAGUGAAAUGCUAUUCGAUCUUAAAUAUAUCUAGUUUUUUAAGAAAUAAAUUUAAUUUAGUUUAUUUUAAGUAAGAUUUUUAGUUUACUAGAGUUUUAUUUGAAUAAGUAAAUAUUUUAAGGGAUGAGCUUUAAAGUAGAAUUUUAAAAAUUUAUUUAAUUUUAUUAAUGAAUAGGAUUAGAAGUUUUUAUUUUUAAUAGUGUUUUAUGACUAAUUAAUGUGAAAGAUAAAAUUUGUAUUUGAAUUUUAAAUUUUUUAUUAAAAUUUACUGUUUAAUUUUAGAAGAGUAGGAAUAAUGAUAGAAUUAGUAAAAUUAGGAGUUUAAAUUAUUUAGGUUUGAUAGGUUAAAUAAAGGAACUCGGCAAAAUAUUUUUCACCUGUUUAUUAAAAACAUGUCUUUUUGAUUAUAAUUUAAAGUCUAACCUGCCCAAUGAUAAGUAUUAAAUGGCUGCGGUAUAUUGACCGUACAAAGGUAGCAUAAUCAUUAGUUUUUUAAUUGAAAGCUGGAAUGAAAGGUUGCAUGAAAAAAUGACUGUCUCUGUUUAAAUUUAUUUGAAUUUUAUUUUUAAGUAAAAAAGCUUAAAUUUUUCUAAAAGACGAGAAGACCCUAUAGAGUUUUAUAAAUUUGGUAUAAAGAUUUUUUAGUAUUAAAAUUAAUUUAUGCAUAAUUUAUUUGGUUGGGGUGAUUGAAAAAUUAGGUUAACUUUUUUUUUAUUUAUUACAUUUAUUUAUGAGUAUUUGAUCCUUAUUUAAAGAUUAAAAGAUAAAAUUACCUUAGGGAUAACAGCGUUAUUUUUUUUGAGAGUUCAAAUCGAAAAAAAAGAUUGCGACCUCGAUGUUGGAUUAAAAUAAAUUUUUGGUGUAGAAGCUAAAAGAAUUAGGUCUGUUCGACCUUUAAAAUUUUACAUGAUCUGAGUUUAGACCGGCGUGAGCCAGGUUGGUUUCUAUCUUUAGAAAGAAAAAAUAUCUUAGUACGAAAGGACCUUUUAUUUAAUUUAAAAUUUUUAUAUGAAUACAAUU